rnacentral:rRNA from 1 species
UACGUAGGGUGCAAGCGUUGUCCGGAAUUAUUGGGCGUAAAGAGCUCGUAGGCGGUUUGUCGCGUCUGCUGUGAAAACGCGAGGCUCAACCUCGCGCCUGCAGUGGGUACGGGCAGACUAGAGUGCGGUAGGGGAGAUUGGAAUUCCUGGUGUAGCGGUGAAAUGCGCAGAUAUCAGGAGGAACACCGGUGGCGAAGGCGGGUCUCUGGACCGAUACUGACGCUGAGGAGCGAAAGCGUGGGGAGCGAACAGG